GUUGAACGCUGGCGGCAUGCCUUACACAUGCAAGUCGAACGGUAACAGGUCUUCGGAUGCUGACGAGUGGCGAACGGGUGAGUAAUACAUCGGAACGUGCCCGAUCGUGGGGGAUAACGAAGCGAAAGCUUUGCUAAUACCGCAUAAGAUCUACGGAUGAAAGCAGGGGACCGCAAGGCCUUGCGCGAACGGAGCGGCCGAUGGCAGAUUAGGUAGUUGGUGGGAUAAAAGCUUACCAAGCCGACGAUCUGUAGCUGGUCUGAGAGGCCGACCAGCCACACUGGGACUGAGACACGGCCCAGACUCCUACGGGAGGCAGCAGCGGGGAAUUUUGGACAAUGGGCGAAAGCCUGAUCCAGCCAUGCCGCGUGCAGGAUGAAGGCCUUCGGGUUGUAAACUGCUUUUGUACGGAACGAAAAGACUCUGGUUAAUACCUGGGGUCCAUGACGGUACCGUAAGAAUAAGCACCGGCUAACUACGUGCCAGCAGCCGCCGCCGUAA
rnacentral:rRNA from 1 species